GGGCAUGUGGUGUAAUGGCAGCAACCGGGAUCUCAAACCGGGAUGUCGGUUCGAAUCCGACCAUGUCCA
rnacentral:tRNA from 1 species